UACGUAGGGUGCGAGCGUUUGUCCGGAAUUAUUGGGCGUAAAGGGCUCGUAGGCGGUUUGUCGCGUCGGGAGUGAAAUCCACUGGCUUAACUGGUGGCUUGCUUUCGAUACGGGCAGACUGGAGGUAUGCAGGGGAGACUGGAAUUCCUGGUGUAGCGGUGAAAUGCGCAGAUAUCAGGAGGAACACCGGUGGCGAAGGCGGGUCUCUGGGCCGAUACUGACGCUGAGGAGCGAAAGCGUGGGGAGCGAACAGG
rnacentral:rRNA from 1 species